UUAGGCAUCCAUCCAACUUCGCUGCCUGGUUUCCUUCCUCAAUCAAACUUUUGUUUCCGGCAAUUCGAGAUCUUCUUCUCUUCGCCGAUCUUAUUGAUUCAUCAUCGAUCUUAUUGUUGAUUCAUUAUCGAUCUUAUUGUUGAUUCAUCAUCGAUCUUAUUGAUUCAUCAUCGAUCUUAUUGAUUCAUCAUCGAUCUUAUUGUUGAUUCAUUAUCGAUCUUAUUGUUGAUUCAUUAUCGAUCUUAUUGUUGAUUCAUCAUCGAUCUUAUUGAUUCAUCAUCGAUCUUAUUGAUUCAUCAUCGAUCUUAUUGAUUCAUCAUCGGCUAGUAUCUAUGAUCUAUUUCUAUCGUCCACCUUUUCUUCUCUUAACUGACCGCAGGUUGUUGAUUACUCUGGCUGAAGGAGUUAUGAUCUGAGAUGACAGGUCUUGUUUUUUCAAUAAGUUUAGUAUAUGUGAUCCGUUUCUUGCGUCGAACAUUUUCUUCUGCAGAUUGUUAAGAACGUCUAUCUAUCAACUCUUGUUAUGGUUGGCUAUGCGGAUUAGGUUAGUUUUUAGGGAGAACUAUUAUUGACAGGUCAUCUUCGAUGGUUCUAUCCCUGGAUCAAGAAGCGUAGUAGAUACAAUUAAAUCCUCUAUUCCCGAUACCUCUAACUAUUUACCUAGGUCUUUCCAUAUGGCUGACGGUUUUCAAUUAUUUCCUUCCGGAUCAAUCACGAUUUACCAAUAAGGGAUUCAGAAUAAUUUGCUUAUUGGUGGUGAAAAACUUGGAGAUAAAUUCUUGAUUCUCGGUGGACUUUUAGUUUAGUUUAUAAUAUUAAGAUGUCGUUUUUAUGUUAUUUUUUAUAUUAGGGUUAACAAACAGGAAGAGGAUAAUUUUGUUUUUGGUUGUCUUGGUUGGAAGGUUGACUUUUAUGUUGGGAUGAUGGACAAUUUGGAAAAAGCAGGCCUCUGGUUAUGACAGUAUUCAAAUUCCUAUUUUGUGAUAUUAAAUUAUGAUUAGGGUUAUUAUAGGUAGGAGAUGACUUGUUCUUCUUACUUGCCUUAGGUUGCCUUUAUGUUAUAUAACGGAGGAAUGGGAGUACUAUUCAAUCCUGGACACUCUAUGGAUGAACAACUGGAUAUAAAAAGAACAGGCUUAUCCGUCUAAACUUUGAAUUUAUUCACUUAGUAAUUUGAUUAUGAUUAGAAAAGUUUAUAGGUAUGCUGUGGUUGUGUUCUUAUUGGCGUAGGAUUAAUUUUUCCUUGGAUCGUGGAGUAGUUAAUGUUCAAGCCUGGAUAGAUGUGCAAUUGGGCUGAUGGACGGAUGUUAUUAAAAACAGGCUUCUGGUUAUGGUUGUCUUUGGAUUUGUUCACCCUUGAUAUAUUUAUUUGUGUAUUGAUUAUGAUAAAGAAUACUUCUUAGCUAAGAUAUGAUGUGUUCUUAUUGACCUUGAUAGGAUAAUUUUUUCUUUGGAUCGUGGAGUGGUGAAUAUUCAACCUGUCUCUGCACAAUCUAUUUGGCAAAUGGAUGGAUGAAAUAUAAACUAACUAUCUUCUGACUUCUGGUUAUGGGGUAUCUUUUAAUUUAUUCCCCAUUGACAUAUGUUUUUGUGUGUUAUGACUGAGAAUAAAUUGUUAUGCUUUUAGGGAGAACUUUUAUUGUCAGGUUGUCGUCGGUGUUUUUAUCCCUGGAUCAAGAAGCGUAGUAGAUACAAUUAAAUCCUCUAUUCCCGAUAUCUCUAACUAUUUACCCUAGGUCUUUCCAUGUCGGUUUUCAAUUAUUUCCUUCCGGAUCACGAUUUACCAAUAAGGGAAAGAAUAAUUUGAUUUUCUUGGUGUUGUAGGUGGUGAAAAACUUGGAGAUAAAUUCUUAAUUCUCUUUACGGUGGACUUUUAGUUUAUAAUAUUAAGAUGUUGUUUUUAUGUUAUUUUUUAUAUUAGGGUUAACAAACAGGAAGAGGAUAAUUUUGUUUUUGGUUGUCUUGGUUGGAAGGUUGACUUUUAUGUUGGGAUGAUGGACAAUUUGGAAAAAGCAGGCCUCUGGUUAUGACAGUAUUCAAAUUCCUAUUUUGUGAUAUUAAUUUAUGAUUAGGGUUAUUAUAGGUAGGAGAUGACUUGUUCUUCUUACUUGCCUUAGGUUGCCUUUGUGUUAUAUAACGGAGGAAUGGGAGUACUAUUCAAUCCUGGACACUGGAUGAACGACUGGAUAUAAAAAGAACAGGCUUAUCCGUCUAAAUUUUGAAUUUAUUCACUUAGUAAUUUGAUUAUGAUUAGAAAAGUUUAUAGGUAUGCGGUGGUUGUGUUCUUAUUGGCGUAGGGUUAAUUUUUCCUUGGAUCGUGGAGUGGUCAAUGUUCAAGCCUGGCUAGAUGUUCAAUUGGGCUGAUGGAUGGAUGUUAAUUAAAACAGGCUUCUGGUUAUGGUUGUCUUUGGAUUUGUUCACCCUUGAUAUAUUUAUUUGUGUAUUGAUUAUGAUAAAGAAUACUUCUUAGCUAAGAUAUGAUGUGUUCUUAUUGACCUUGAUAGGAUAAUUUUUUAUUUGGAUCGUGGAGUGGUGAAUAUUCAACCUGUCCCUGCACAAUCUAUUUGGCAAAUGGAUGGAUGAAAUAUAAACUAACUAUCUUCUGACUUCUGGUUAUGGGGGUAUCUUUUAAUUUAUUCCCCAUUGACGUAUGUUUUUGUGUGUUAUGACUGAGAAUAAAUUGUUAUGCUUUUAGGGAGAACUAUUAUUGUCAGGUUGUCGUCGGUGUUUUUAUCCCUGGAUCAAGAAGCGUAGUAGAUACAAUUAAAUCCUCUAUUCCCGAUAUCUCUAACUAUUUACCCUAGGUCUUUCCAUGUCGGUUUUCAAUUAUUUCCUUUCGGAUCACGAUUUACCAAUAAGGGAAGGAAUAAUUUGAUUUUCUUGGUGUUGUAGGUGGUGAAAAACUUGGAGAUAAAUUCUUAAUUAUCGUUACGGUGGACUUUUAGUUUAUAAUAUUAAGAUGUUGUGGUGGACUUUUAGUUUAUAAUAUUAAGAUGUUGUGUUUAUGUUAUUUUUUUAUAUUAGGGUUAACAAACAGGAAGAGGAUAAUUUUGUUUUUGGUUGUCUUGGUUGGAAGGUUGGCUUUUAUGUUGGGAUGAUUGACAAUUUGGAAAAAGCAGGCCUCUGGUUAUGACAGUAUUCAAAUUCCUAUUUUGUGAUAUUAAAUUAUGAUUGGGAUUAUUAUAGGUAGGAGAUGACUUGUUCUUCUUACUUCCCUUAGGUUGCCUUUAUGUUAUAUAACGGAGGAUUUGGAGUACUAUUCAAUCCUGGACACUCUAUGGAUGAACAAUUGGAUAUAAAAAGAACAGGCUUAUCCGUCUAAACUUUGAAUUUAUUCACUUAGUAAUUUGAUUAUGAUUAGAAAAGUUUAUAGGUAUGCGGUGGUUGUGUUCUUAUUGGCGUAGGAUUAAUUUUUCCUUGGAUCGUGGAGUGGUCAAUGUUCAAGCCUGGCUAGAUGUUCAAUUGGGCUGAUGGACGGAUGUUAUUAAAAACAGGCUUCUGGUUAUGGUUGUCUUUGGAUUUGUUAACCCUUGAUAUAUUUAUUUGUGUAUUGAUUAUGAUAAAGAAUACUUCUUAGCUAAGAUAUGAUGUGUUCUUAUUGACCUUGAUAGGAUAAUUUUUUCUUUGGAUCGUGGAGUGGUGAAUAUUCAACCUGUCUCUGGACUAUCUAUUUGGCAAAUGGAUGGAUGAAAUAUAAACUAACUAUCUUCUGACUUCUGGUUAUGGGGUAUCUUUUAAUUUAUUCCCCAUUGAUAUAAUUGUUUAUGUGUUAUGACUAAGAAUAAUACUUCAUAAGGUAGGUGAUGAUGGCAGAUGCAUUCUCCUUCAAUUGAAGUCAUCCGUUUUUUUUUUCCUGAUCUUCAAAUAGUCAUUGAGUUCAUAUUUUGUGUUAUUUCCCCACAAAAUAGUCUUUCAUGUAAAAUAUAUUUUUCACUUGUGAUUUUAGGAUUGCUUAAUGAUGCGAACUCCAUGAGUGGAUCUAACAAUCUUUCAACCAAAUUAUCCGGUUUGAUUACCGUCUUCAAAUAGAGUCCUUAAAAGUUCUCAUUUUGUGUUAUUUCAUCAUUAAUUUAUGAUAUAAUAUAAUUUGCUCUUGUGUUUUUAGGAUGGAGGAUGCUAUCUCUAUAAUUUUAAACAAUUUAUCUGAUCUCGGUUGCCCUGGUCUUCAAAUAGAGCCUUCCUUUGUGUUAUUUCAUCAAGAUUAGUCUAUAUAAAAUAUAGUGUUUCCUUCGUGGUAAAUUUUUGUUGUUCUUCUUUUAUAUAUUCUUUCCUUGGAUGAUGGAGAACCUGAGAUAAAUAUUGGCUACUAGUCUUUUGAUAUCUUCCCAAUUUCAGCCUUUACAACAUUCAUAUACUCAUGUUCUCAAUUUAAUUUACUACAUACAAUUUAAUUUUCCUUUCUAGAUGAUUUUAAUGACAUGUUGUCUCUUUGCUCCGCGCCUCCGCCAGUUAAACCUCUAUCUCGUGUAAUUUCUUCAUUUUACGACGAUCAUCUUGGCUUGUGAAAAUUGAACCUUUUAAUCAGGAUUUUUUCUCUCAGAUAGAUCACAGUGCUUCUUCAAAAUUAUUUAAGUGACUAGAUUUUCAUGAUGUUUUGGAUCCAUUUUCAAGAUCUCUCAAAAUUUGGAUUUUCCCUCUUCUAUUUUGUACAGAUAUAGAGAGCUUUAUGGAGUUUUUCCUGCCUGGUUUGAACUCUCUCUCUCUCUCUAUUAUCUUCCCUUUAACUUGCCAAAUGUUUAAUCUUAGUUAGAGAGAGUACAUGAUAUUUUUGCUCACCUUGCAGUAUUAGGUCAUUAUUUGGGUAGUUUCACUAAUCUUUUGUAUUCGUUUAUCAUAUUUUAUAAAAAAAAAUUGGUUCAUUUUGUGUUUGUCUAGUAGAAUUUUAUUGAUAAUAAAUACUUCCUUAUUGCAUAAUUUUGACAUUUUAGCUUGUAAGGGUACACCUAUAAGUUUUCCCUGUUGACGUUGUAGGAACUUUCUUUUUAGAAAAGCUUUCCAUAUUCUAGCCUGCAAAAGCACCUGUAAGUUCUUACUGGUUAUUGAAAAGUCAUUUUCCUUUGUCUUAUAUUCUAAGGUAUUUUGAGGGGUGAAGAUGCAUUCUUGAUGAUCUCUGUAGAUUUACUCCCUUAAUGUUUUCCUGUAAUAGAAUGUUUCUCUAAUUUUGGAUGCUAGAGCGUACAUGCUCUUGCAGUUGGUUAUCAUGUUGGUGUCAUCUUCAGCACGCCCACCCUUUGGUAAAUUUUAAAUUUGUUUUGAUAAGUGACAUUAGAAUUGUAUUUUUGUACACCAAUUAUUUUGCCUUCAGGAGGUACCUUUUAAGUUCUUCCCUGCGCUGGACUUGUAAAAACUUUCUCCUUGGAUAAGUUUGAUCUUAUUGUCUGCUGCAAGUCCAUCCUUUUCUAUUGAGCUUGGUUAGUUUCUACGGUGCUAAACAUAUGGUUUGUACUUUAUUUAUUGCUUGUCAUGGAAAGUUGAUAUGUAGGGAUUGUUUUAUUUUGGAGUUGUUGUUGACCUCUUACUGAUUUAAAGUUCCUCUUAUAUUUACUCUACAGAAAACCAACUUUCAUAAUAUAGCAUUGGAUAACUUUGAUAAUGUUAUCUCUGUUGUUGACUUUGAUACUACUACAACCUGGUGUAGCAAGUUUUUUCAUGUUUAUUGAGUGCUAUGUUCCUUCACUGCUUUGGAGCUAGCUACUGUCCCUUGUAUCUUUGUCUAGCGUUUCUCAAUUUUUGGACAACUUGGUAGAUGCCUUUAAUGUUGGUUAUUAGGGAUGGGGUCAUCUACAUCUCGGUUGUUCUUCCACACAACAUAACAUUCACUAGGAUGCCUGUAAGGACUUCCUCUCUUAGGUGAGCUAUGAUGUUAUAUCCCGCAAGGUAUACAUGUAAGUUAUUCCCUGCUAUUAUGUUAGCUAUUCCUUUUCCUUUCUAUCCAAGUGUUGUUCUAGGGCAAUUUGAGGGAAGGCUACGAACACUUGGUGAACUCUUUUGUUUUAUCCCUAAUCUUGUACCUUUACUGGAAUGCUUCUUGAUAUCCAUGCAGUUGGUUGGAUGGUGUCAUCUUUAUGACGGAAAUUCCCUGCUUUCCUAUGUUUGAUGAUCUAGUUGGCAACAUUGACAUUCCAUUUAUGCAAAUGCUAUAUUGAUGGUUCGGAGAAUGUUUUGCCUCAAUUUGAAUUAAUGAAGUCUUUGGCUCAAUAAUGUUUUUUGAUAAGUGCAUUCAGUUGUCCUUUUCAAUAACGGUGGCAGCUUUGGUUAUAUUCUUCAGUGCUAAAUAUACGAUUUAUAUGGUGGUUGGACCUUCACGAUCUAUUGUUUGUCAUGGAUAGCUGAUAUGCAGGAUUGGUUUAUUUUGGAGUUGUGGAUGGUCUCUUAUGGUACACAUUUUCCUUUCAAGUAUACUAGUAAAAUUUCCAGCAUAUCCAAUACGUUCAACAAAAAGUGGCCUUUUGACCUAAUUUACUCGUGCACAUCCAAAAUCUUAUAUAAUAAUGUUUUCUGCAUAUUCAAAUACUUUCAGCAAAAAGUAGUGGCAUUUUGACAUAGUUUACUGGUGCAUUCAAGUGUCUUGGUUAUUAUUACCAGUCAUGUCCAGUAUUAUCAGCAAAAAGUAUAAAGUUGCCGUUUAUGGUUUUAUGGUAUCAUUUUAGAUUGAUGCUACUUGCGAAGCUUCCAUCAAACCCGUUUUGCUUAGUUCUCCAGUUCUUAUUUGGCUUUCUGGGAGGAAUGGUGAACAAGGAAAUAUAUUUAAGAAUGCAUUUUACUGUUUUGGAUGAUGUUAUUUAAUUGAGAUGCCUGGGAAAUGUCAUAUUCCACAAUGAUAUACUAGGACUCUCUUGAUGGUGUGCUUCAAUGAAAUUUAUCAUUCUAAAUACUAGGACUGCAAUAGUGUUUGUUCCUGCUGGGAAGAGGUGUUAGAAUCUCCUUUGAUUGAUGUUACUUGCGAAUAUAUGAUAUACGAACUGUGAAUGCUCUAGAUCUCCAUGGAACAACCCCAUUUUGCUUAAUUCUGCAGCUCUUAUUUGGCUUCUUUGGGAGGAGGAGGGGUGGUGAACCAACUGAAUUCUCUAUAUAUAUUCUGCCUGGGAAAUAUCUUAUUCCACAAUGAUAGACAUUUAGCUCUUUGUCUUGAUGGUCUGCAAGAGUGUUAAUGAUGUUCUGUUUGAUAUGAAUCAACUGGUGAAUGGGUAGGUGUUAGAAGCUUCUUGAUGUCUGCUGCUGAAAAAUUGUCUAACACUCCUUUGUUAAUGCAUAAGAGAGUUUAUUGUGUGUGGGACACACUUUGGUAGAAGAAACUCUGCUAGUGGCUUAUGUGGGAGUUUUAUUUGAUAUAUGAAACUCAUUUGUUAUAUUCUUGGUUUCACUUGGAGAAAUGUUACUUUCUAUUUGCUUGCGUCAAAUAUUUUGCACUUGCUUUGCUAUCUUGGCAAUCUCGCUGAGAAGUAACCACUGUUAUUAUUUUGUCA